rnacentral:rRNA from 1 species
UACGUAGGGGCUAGCGUUAUCCGGAAUUACUGGGCGUAAAGGGUGCGUAGGCGGUCUUUCAAGCCAGAAGUGAAAGGCUACGGCUCAACCGUAGUAAGCCUUUGAAACUGGGAAACUUGAGUGCAGGAGAGGAGAGUGGAAUUCCUAGUGUAGCGGUGAAAUGCGUAGAUAUUAGGAGGAACACCAGUUGCGAAGGCGGCUCUCUGGACUGUAACUGACACUGAGGCACGAAAGCGUGGGUAGCAAACAGGAUUAGAUACCCCGGUAGUCCCUGAGCGGG